rnacentral:rRNA from 1 species
CCAGCAGCCGCGGUAAUUCCAGCUCCAAUAGCGUAUAUUAAACUUGUUGCAGUUAAAAAGCUCGUAGUUGAACUUCUGCUGCUUGGAUUUCGUUCCCUUCGGGGCUUCGUUUUCCUGGUGGCAUUAUUCCGGUUAAUUUUGGCUUCGGCCUUCUUUUUCCGGUUUUACUUUGAGAAAAUUAGAGUGUUUCAAGCAGGCUUUUGCCUUGAAUACUUCAGCAUGGAAUAAUAAAGUAGGACUUUGGUUCUAUUUUGUUGGUUUCCAGGCACCAAAGUAAUGGU